AUUGAACGCUGGCGGCAGGCUUAACACAUGCAAGUCGAGCGGGGGAAGGUAGCUUGCUACCGGACCUAGCGGCGGACGGGUGAGUAAUGCUUAGGAAUCUGCCUAUUAGUGGGGGACAACAUCUCGAAAGGGAUGCUAAUACCGCAUACGUCCUACGGGAGAAAGCAGGGGAUCUUUGGACCUUGCGCUCAUAGAUGAGCCUAAGUCGGAUUAGCUAGUUGGUGGGGUAAAGGCCUACCAAGGCGACGAUCUGGAGCGGGUCUGAGAGGAUGAUCCGGCACACUGGGACUGAGACACGGCCCAGACUCCUACGGGAGGCAGCAGUGGGGAAUAUUGGACAAUGGGGGGAACCCUGAUCCAGCCAUGCCGCGUGUGUGAAGAAGGCCUUAUGGUUGUAAAGCACUUUAAGCGAGGAGGAGGCUACUUUAGUUAAUACCUAGAGAUAGUGGACGUUACUCGCAGAAUAAGCACCGGCUAACUCUGUGCCAGCAGCCGCCGUAA
rnacentral:rRNA from 1 species